UGGGGAAUAUUGCACAAUGGAGGGAACUCUGAUGCAGCGACACCGCGUGAACGAAGAAGGCUUUCGAGUCGUAAAGUUCUUUUAUAUGGGAAGAUAAUGACGGUACCAUAAGAAAAAGCCCCGGCUAACUACUUGCCAGCAGCCGCGGUAAUACGUAGGGGGCUAGCGUUGUCCGGAAUCACUGGGCGUAAAGGGUUCGCAGGCGGAAAUGCAAGUCAGGUGUAAAAGGCAGUAGCUUAACUACUGUAAGCAUUUGAAACUGCAUAUCUUGAGAAGAGUAGAGGUAAGUGGAAUUUUUAGUGUAGCGGUAAAAUGCGUAGAUAUUAAAAAGAAUACCGGUGGCGAAGGCGACUUACUGGGCUCAUUCUGACGCUGAGGAACGAAAGCGUGGGUAGCAAACAGG
rnacentral:rRNA from 1 species